AGUGAACGCUGGCGGUAGGCCUAACACAUGCAAGUCGAACGGCAGCACAGUAAGAGCUUGCCCUUACGGGUGGCGCGUGGCGGGCGGGUGAGGAAUACAGCGGAAUCUACUAUUUCGUGGGGGAUAACGCAGGGAACCUUACGCUAAUACCGCAUACGACCUACGGGUGAAAGCAGAGGAUCUUCGGACCUUGCUCGUGUGACUGAGCCCAUGACGGAUUAUCUAGUUGGCGGGGUAACGGCUCACCAAGGCGACGAUCCGUAAGAGGUAUGAGAGGGUGAUCCGGCACACUGGGACUGAGACACGGCCCAGACUCCUACGGGAGGCAGCAGGAGGGAAUCUUCGGCAAUGGACGAAAGUCUGACGGAGCAAUGCCGCGUGAGUGAAGAAGGUUUUCGGAUCGUAAAACUCUGUUGUAAGGGAAGAACAAGUACGUUAGUAACUGAACGUACCUUGACGGUACCUUACCAGAAAGCCACGGCUAACUACGUG
rnacentral:rRNA from 1 species